rnacentral:tRNA from 1 species
ACCUGGGUGGCUCAGUCAGUUGAGCAUCUGACUUCAGCUCAGAUCAUGAUCUCACAGUUCAUGGGUUCGAACCCAAUGUCAGGCU